UGGGGAAUAUUGCACAAUGGGCGCAAGCCUGAUGCAGCCAUGCCGCGUGUAUGAAGAAGGCCUUCGGGUUGUAAAGUACUUUCAGCGGGGAGGAAGGGAGUAAAGUUAAUACCUUUGCUCAUUGACGUUACCCGCAGAAGAAGCACCGGCUAACUCCGUGCCAGCAGCCGCGGUAAUACGGAGGGUGCAAGCGUUAAUCGGAAUUACUGGGCGUAAAGCGCACGCAGGCGGUUUGUUAAGUCAGAUGUGAAAUCCCCGGGCUCAACCUGGGAACUGCAUCUGAUACUGGCAAGCUUGAGUCUCGUAGAGGGGGGUAGAAUUCCAGGUGUAGCGGUGAAAUGCGUAGAGAUCUGGAGGAAUACCGGUGGCGAAGGCGGCCCCCUGGACGAAGACUGACGCUCAGGUGCGAAAGCGUGGGGAGCAAACGGG
rnacentral:rRNA from 1 species